GCCAGCAGCCAUAUCACUCUAAGCAGGUGUGAGCCUGGUCAGUACCUGGAUGGGAGACCUGGGAAAAUCUAAGGUUGCUGCUGGAU
rnacentral:rRNA from 1 species